GAUGAACGCUGGCGGCGUGCCUAAUACAUGCAAGUCGAGCGAACAGACGAGGAGCUUGCUCCUCUGACGUUAGCGGCGGACGGUUGAGUAACACUUGGAUAACCUACCUAUAAGACUGGGAUAACUUCGGUAAACCUGAGCUAAUACCGGAUAAUAUAUUGCACCGCAUGGUUCAAUAGUGUAAGACGGUUUUGCUUUCACUUAUAGCUUAUUCCGCGCCGCAUUAGCUAGUUGGUAAGGUAACGGCUUACCAAGGCAACGAUGCGUAGCCGACCUGAGAGGGUGAUAGGCCACACUAGAACGGAGACACGGUCAAGACUCCUGCGGGAGGCAGCAGUAGGGAAUCGUACGCAAUGGGCGAAAGCAUGACGGAGCAAGGGCGCGUGAGUGAUGAAGGUCUUCGGAGCGUAAAAAUCUGUUAUGAGGGAAGAACAAAUGUGUAAGUAACUAUGCACGGAGUGACGGUACCGAAUCAGAAAGCCACGGCUAACUACGUG
rnacentral:rRNA from 1 species